GACCCCAUGCCGAACUCAGAAGUGAAACGUCGUAGCGCCGAUGGUAGUGUGGGGUCUCCCCAUGUGAGAGUAGGGAACUGCCAGGC
rnacentral:rRNA from 1 species